GACGAACGCUGGCGGCGUGCUUAACACAUGCAAGUCGAACGGAAAGGCCCUGCUUUUGUGGGGUGCUCGAGUGGCGAACGGGUGAGUAACACGUGAGUAACCUGCCCUUGACUUUGGGAUAACUUCAGGAAACUGGGGCUAAUACCGGAUAGGAGCUCCCGCUGCAUGGUGGGGGUUGGAAAGUUUCGGAGGUUGGGGAUGGACUCGCGGCUUAUCAGCUUGUUGGUGGGGUAGUGGCUUACCAAGGCUUUGACGGGUAGCCGGCCUGAGAGGGUGGCCGGCCACAUUGGGACUGAGAUACGGCCCAGUCUCCAAGGGGAGACAGCAGUGGCGAAUAUUGCACAGUGGGCGGAAGCCUGAUGCGGCAACGCCGCGUGCGGGAUGACGGCCUUCGGGUUGUAAACAGCAUUCGCCUAUGACGAAGCGUGAGUGACGGUAAUGGGUAAAGAAGCACCGGCUAACUACGUG
rnacentral:rRNA from 1 species